AAGAUAUCUACCCCCGGAAACAUUAUGGCUUUGUCUGGUGUACUUAACCUGAUAUUCUGCGGUGUACCUGUUAUGUAAUAACGUGAGUUAUGCAGGUGCUUAUAAUGAAUUAGCUCUGAGUAUCUGACAUCUCCUCAUACGGACAGGGCUGCUCCAGGCUUCUUGGAGAGAAGCCUCCCUUUCUGGGUCACCCUCCAGAGAUAGUAUAGCCCCAGCUACACUGGAACAAGCUUCAUCUGUUGAAAUUGGGUCUGUUGGACACAGCUGGCCAGGGGAUGGCCCCGGUACAUUAUGGGAACAAAAUAAAAGAAAGCAUAAUUCCUGGCAACCACGUUUAAAAAAAGCCUUCAAGCUUAAGGGCGUAACCAUAGUUUACUAACACGCUUCUGCCAAUUUGUCUAAAUUUUUAAAGUGACACUUUUACCUACAGGUGGAUACAUCUACUACAGAAAUUUAGGUUAAGCACUUUUAAUGGAGGUUACAAACUUUUACACUGAAUCAGAAUUUUUAACCACUACAGAAAUAGUGUAUAGAACUCUAUGAAUAAUGUGAAACAUUUACCCAGGGGUUAAACAGUCAGUUUUAUGACUUUUUUUUUUUUUUUAGCAAUGUAUGCUAUGUAAAGUAAUUCAUAGUGCUGCGGUCAGCUAUUAAUAAUACUUAAUGUUUACUCAGAUACUCAGAGAGAGUGGUGGUGGUGCGGUUCUGCGGGUUAGAACUUGAAAGGUUGCCAGGCGAAAUCCUGUGGCUGGCAGAGUAAUUUCACCGUUGGGCCCCUGAGCACAGGCACUUAACCCUAGUCGCUUCAGGGCCUGGUUGACCCUGUUGCCCAAUCCUCACUUUGGAUAAUAGUGUCUGCUAAAUGUAACAUAAUCUAUGUGUUCUCGUUCAGCUACAGCUCUUUGAAACUCUACAGACAUUAGCAAAACCUUUGAGAACAGUAAUGGAUAUGAAAGGGAAUUCCACCACCCAAAAACAGUUUGAGUUCAGGUGUCUAAUCAUCAUGACCAAUCAACUUUUUGCCUGGAGGCCUUCAGUGUCGUAGUUGCCAAACUGGUGUGAAUCCAGUUUUAUUUCGUGGAAACAUGCUGUGUUUAUACUGAACAGAAAGGGCAGGUGUUUCUAGAAGGAAGCCCUUGCUUUUAAAUAGAAAAGCAUAAUAAGAAAAUGCAUUUUGUGAAGUAUUAAAUUCACUCCUGUUUUUUCCAUGAAAGCCAGUUUAAACGCACUGAACUCCAUCAUUGAAAGCUUCUGAAAAAACAUGCUACAGACUCAAUGCCAUCCUCUCGUGCCAAUUGAAGAUUUUUACACAUUAGACAUUAAUUUCCAUCUAAUGUACUAAAGAUCAAUUGACUAAUUGUGUAACUGCUGUAGCUGCUCCAGGGACUGGCCGACCCUGUUUCUCAGUUGUACCUCGCUUUGGACAAAAGCAUCUACUACAUAAAUAAAUGCAAAAGAGGUAAAUGAACUUAGUCAUACGAUCCCCCUAAGUUUAUGAUGUGUUUUAUUUGAGGGACAUUAUCUUUGCAGUUUACAGAAGAACAGAAUCAUCUCUGCAUGUCUAUUUAAGGAAGGUCUGCUGGGCCUGCAGGGUUUUUAAUGGUCUCGCAGCUCACAUUUGGGUCCUGCACAGAUUCUCGGGAGAAGAGCUGUCAGGUAUCUGUGGGUUGCCAGUUACCUUCGGCGAGGUUCUGAAUAAAAAUCCCCCUCCAAUGAGGCAGAGUGUGACAUUCGGGCUGUAAAGCGGGGAUCUGCCCGCAAACUGGUAGAGUCACGCCCACGGUCUUCGGUACAGAGUCUCCAGCAUUGUCAGGUUCACCUGAACGCCGUUUUCCUUUCUGUAGAGCUCAAAAGCAGCUGGAUCUUUAAGACGAAAAAAGUUACUGUACAGCAGCAGCUUACUUUUCAGGGUAAAGAGGGUGACACACUGACAUGGCAAUCAACCCUACUACGGAAUAUACUGAGGAUGUAUUCACACUGUCAUGCUCAUUUGGGUAAAUGAGAAUGAAAAACAGGUUAAAAUGAUAGUAGACUCACAACAGUGCAGUACGACUGUAUCAGUAUCCCCCAAAAUACUGAUGAUAUAUUUUUUCUCUUUUGUUUUAGAUGUUAAGUCUUGGUAAAUUCAAGAUCUGAAUUUUUUUUUAGGUGGUGGUAACUUUUCGAGGUGAUGUUCUCCUUGUUUUCCAACCGCGGCCUCUCUAGACUGAUGUAUUGGCUUUGAUUUUUUUGAUUUGCUGUAAAAUAUCUUGUCAGUUGUUGUCCAGAAAAACAACGGGCCCCUCCACUGGGACCUUAUCUGUAUGCCGCCGUUCCUGUUUGCUGAAUCAGAGACGGAAAAAGAGGCUCACUGUGCUCAUUCUGACACAUGCCAGGCCCGCUUGUUGUUUACACAGAGGGGAGCACAAAUGUGACCUCACAGCAAAGAGACGGCGUGUUUCACAGGCUCUGCUCAAUAAUGGAUUUGUAUUGCUAUUCUGGGACCCUUUAUGCUCUGAAAAGAUUAAAACUCACAAUCUCAGCUCAAUAAUAGAAGGUCCAGUGAGGUGUGUUGAACCUAUGUUUUAUUCUGUUGUGUUGUUUCUGGUCUACUGAUCCUUCAUCCAUCCAUCCAUCCAUCCAUCCAUCUAUCAGGCCAUUUGAUAUUUCUCCCGUGUACUUCAAGAUUUAUGGCAUCAUACCAAUCCAUUUUUUAAUGCAGGACCCGAUCAGUCGUAGAUCUCUUCUGGCACAACAGCCGUUCUUUCUAACACAAAACAGCAUCUCUACUAGCGAAUAAUGCCGUCUAAUACAUUUGUACAAAAAGGUUAACAUUUUAUUUACUAAAACUAAACUAAACCCCCGACUUUAACGCCGAUUCCACACGUCAUGCCCUCACGGUCGGUAAUCUACCGCCACCUACCAGGGGCUGAUGUGAACACUACCUCUACACCCCCAAGAAUACCUGAUAAUACGUAGCAGCACACCAUAAGCGGCGCAUUGUAGCUUAUGCGUCCAGAAAAUAGUACAGCAGAAACCAUAAUUAAAAUACCAAAAACUCCGAAUUAUCACAUAUACUGCUGCGUAAAAAGGACGAGACGACAAAAUAUAAUACGUCAAUAAAAAUACAGCAUUCUAGUAACAAUAUUGGGCAGAUUUUUUUCGUGAACAUUUCGGAAAUAAGCGCCAGGGGAGAUUUUUACAACGGUUUAAAGGCAAGUAAUGCAAAUGAUGAUCCUUAACUCACAUUUCACAGUAAAACAGCAAGGAACAUCUAACGAUGAAAGAACGACACGCAUACACUACUGCCAAUUUAUAAAGACUCUUGUAACUCCAAGAGUACUAUCAAUAAAGCCUUCUUGUACUGUAUAUUGUAUAAAAUAUUUCGUUAAAUCGUGCGUAGCUCUAAGAAAAUUUUACAGAUAAAAUAUUGAUUAAAGUUCAGACACCCGUCAAUGGAUCCCCCUAGCGGACCACUUGCUGAUUGGCUAAUGGACAUGCAUACGUAUUCACAGCCACCCACAUGCUACAAUGGCGCCGUUUCCGUCAUGGAUGUAAAUGGGUGGAAUAAAUAAAGUUUUAUUCAAAAGCAACUGUCAUGGCAACAGCGUCGUCGGGGGCAUGCUUCCAGCUUGUGUUCUACAGAUGGAAGACACCUUCCUCGCUGCUGAAACCAAUGAUAAAUUUAACAGGAAAGAGAAAGUGGCCUCUGAGAAGAAGGCAGAAUUCCUCCGGAAUGCGGAGAAGUUUAGAAAACAGAUUAAUGUCCUGGAAAAAGAGAAGCGCCAGAGUAUUCAAAGUAAAAGAAGUGCGUUCAGAGGUGGUUUUGAAGAGCUGGAGGAGCUGGGCAGGAGGUUACAGGAAGACAGGAAGGCUGAGGUCAAGAAACUCCAACAGCGACUUGCGAAAAUCUGCAAUGGCGUGAGCCGCUUCCGGGGGCAGCUGGCUGACGUGAAGCCUACUGCACAAGUUCUUGAAAAGCUGAACGAAUUGAUGACUGAAGUCGAGAGCUCCAUUGGCACUUUGAAGGAGGAGCAGUGCCGUGGCUAUGAGGAGCUCUGCAAAGCGGAGAGAAUUUGCUGGUUGGAGAUUUGUGCACUUGAGAAGAAGAUAGAGGCCUGGACCUUGGGUGUGGCUGCAGGCCCCCAGGAUCCUCCCCCCUCUGCCAAAGUGCGCCUGGUCCAAGCCUUGGAGGAUGACUUGCCACCAGAGGUGGUGGAGCUCGAGAUCUUCCUGCAGCGAACUGGAGGCAGGCUGGGUGGCUGGGACCAGUAUGAUCACCAUACCUUCCUCAAGGUGUGGACCAAGUACAGUGGAAGGCCAGCCUACAGGAAAGAGGCUCUGCUCUACCUGCCAGGGAAGGCGGAAGAGGAGAUGCAGCAGCAUGAGGAUUGGUAUCAGAAGCUCCUGUCUCUCCAGGAGAAAAAGAAGGAGGCCAUCCUUCGAUGGAAAGCGAAGCGGCAGCAGGAGAAGGAGGCACAGUGCCAGCAGCAGGUUAAGGAAGAGGACGCCACAAGGCAGAAGAAGGCUGGGCUGGAGGAGGCUCACCGGUGCCGGCUGGAGGAGGAGAGGCAGGAAGCUGCGGUCCACCUAGAGGCAUGGAGGACACAGCGCGGGCUGCAAGAGGCUAAGGAAAAUCAGCGUAAGCUUCAGGAGGAAGUGCUACAGAGGAGGCAGGAAAAAGAGGAGCGCAGGAAGCAGAUAGAGGUGAAGAUGAUGGUGGAGGCCUACAUCCAGCAGAGGAAGGAACAAGAGGAGCUCCUCGUGCAUGAGAAGGAAGCCCAAGAACAUGCAGAGAUGGAGGAGAGAAGGAGGUGUGCAGCUAGAGGGAUCAAACAAUUCCAGGAGCGGGACCUUCAGAAGCUGGAGACCAAGCUGCAGGAGAGACAGGCUAAGGAGGAUGAGGAGGCUGAGCGAGGAAGGAGGCUGGCGAGGCUGAAGGAGAAGGUUGAAGGGCAUGUCAUUCAUGACCCUGAAAGGAUCUCAAAGUCCACCAAGGUAUGGGAGGAGCGUACCAAGCACGUAGGGCCAUCAGGGGGAGGUCGAGUAUUCCAUGUGUUUCACAGGGCUGUGCCAGCAUGGAGACAAGACCUGUGACCAGCAGCCCAUCUGUCAAACAUGGCAACCAUGAACUAUUGUAAAAUCAUAAGUACUAAUGUAAUUUAAUAUGAAGUAGUACAUGGAGGACCAAAUUACUCACACUCCAACACCAUUGUGAAGUUCACGGAUGACACAUUGGUAAUUGGACUCAUCACCAACAACGAUGACUCAGCCUACUAGAGGGAGGUGGAGAACCUGUCGGUAUGGUGUAGGUCCAACUGCCUCAGUCUGGAUGUCAGCAAAACUAAAGAGCUGAUAGUGGUCUACAGCAAGAAGAAGCAGCGCUCCUUCUCACGCUUCCAGAUCAACAGUGUUCCAGUGGAGAGGGUUGACAACAUCAAAUACCUUGGGGUUCUGCUCACUGAGGACCUCACUUGGCACUCACAUGUCAGCACUCUGGUCACCAGGGCGAGGAAGUCGCUGUACCACCUGAGACAGCUGAGGAGAUUUAGGGUCACUCCAGUGAUCCUAAAAACCUUCUACUCAGCUGCUGUGGAGAGCAUCUUGACCAUGAACAUUACGGUAUGGUUUGGGAACUGUUCUCUAAAGGACCGCAAAGGAACACUGCAGGUCCAGAGGUACUAAGAUAAUGAAGGACUCCUUACACCCCGCAAACUCUGUUCCGCAGGCUAAACUCAGGUAGACGGUUCCAUUGCCUAAUGUCCAGGACAGAGAGACUCAGGUAGAGCUUUUUCCUCCAGGCCAUAAGGCUUCUCAACUCAAACUAAUUCUGGUCCUUCUGUACACUACGUAUGUUUGUACUGGAAUUCACAUAUACUGCACAUGUUCACUUUACUGCACAAAUAACUUUAGUCUGUACAUCCUUGCCAUUGCACUAUAUUUUAGAUUGUAUAUUUAGAUUAUAUACGGUACUUAGAUUAGAUUA